GCAGUGGAGCGGGCGAUCGCCGGCGCCCGUGCGGCGGUCCCGAGAGGACUGCCGCACGACGCGGGAGGAAAGUCCGGGCUUCACAGGGCAGGGUGCCGGGUAACGCCCGGUGAGGGUGACCUCGAGGAAAGUGCAACAGAAAGCAAACCGCCCCGCGCGCGCGCGCUUCGGCGCGCGCGCCCCGGGGUAAGGGUGAAAUGGUGGAGUAAGAGCCCACCGCGCUCGCGGUGACGCGAGUGGCACGGCAAACCCCACCCGAAGCAAGGCCAUGUAGGGAGGCGGUCCCGCGGCGCGAGUCGCGGGGCUGCCCGGACGGCGCGAGCCGACCGGGCCAAGGACGGCCCGUCCAAGCCUCCGGGUAGGCUGCUCGAGACCGGCGGCAACGCCGGCCCUAGAGGAAUGAUCGCCAGCGCGCGACCCGGGCGACCGGCGCGCACGACAGAACCCGGCUUAUGCGCCGCUGCGACC
rnacentral:RNase_P_RNA from 1 species